rnacentral:rRNA from 1 species
AACGUAGGGGACAAGCGUUAUCCGGAUUUACUGGGCGUAAAGCGCCCGUAGGCGGCUUAACAAGUUGGAUGUGAAAGCUCCCGGCUUAACUGGGAGAGGUCAUUCAAAACUGUUAGGCUAGAGGAUGGAAGAGGAGAGCGGAAUUCCCGGUGUAGUGGUGGAAUGCGUAGAGAUCGGGAGGAACACCAGUGGCGAAAGCGGCUCUCUGGUUCACACCUGACGCUGAGGGCGAAAGCGUGGGGAGCGAACGGG